GGUGGUAUGGUCUAGUGGUAUGACGUCGCGUUGUGGCUGGCGGGCAAUAAGCUGCCCCGAUCCAGAUCCGCGCCAGCCUGGGUUCGAGUACGUUUUACCA